AAAAUAGGACACUCAAAUUGCUGUACUGAUGAGAUGAUAAAAAGCUGAACCCAGCUCAUUAAUAGUGUGGCUCCUCCACAGUUAGGAAAUGACAAUUUGUUCUUCUAAAUUGCCAAGUCUGUACCUGAAUUAUGUAUAGACUGAAAGACGAUUCCAAGAGAUUCCUUCCUGCUCGGGGACCAUCUGCUCCACUCCUGCAAAGGCAGGGAUCUGCUUUGUGGUCCUGAUGACUGACAGAGAGGCUGCCAUUUCAGACUUCACCAGCUGCCAUGGCAGAAGAACAAAGAGAAAUCAUAAUGGAUGGAGAAGUAUCUUGCCCAGCAAUGAAACCCUCAACCUGAUACAAGGUGUCAGCAAGCUGCCUCUGUCGGUAUGGUGUAAUGAGAAGCCACUCAGCUUGCAGCCUAUUAAUCUCCACAGUCACAAAGAAACCUGAACCAUGGGACUGUCUUCUGAGAGCACGUGUGAACAGCAGGGAUUAGGAC
rnacentral:lncRNA from 1 species